CCUACGGGAGGCAGCAGUGGGGAAUAUUGGGCAAUGGAGGCAACUCUGACCCAGCAACGCAGCGUGAAUGAUGAAGGUCUUCGGAUUGUAAAGUUCUGUGAUGGGGGAUGAAAACAAUGACGGUACCCCAAUAGCAAGCCACGGCUAACUACGUGCCAGCAGCCGCGGUAAUACGUAGGUGGCAAGCGUUAUCCGGAAUGACUGGGCGUAAAGGGUGCGUAGGUGGUUUAGUAAGUUGGCGGUGUAAUUCCGGGGCUCAACCUCGGCGCUACCGCCAAAACUAUUAGACUAGAGUGCAGGGGGGGUAAGUGGAAUUCCUAGUGUAGCGGUGGAAUGCGUAGAUAUUAGGAGGAACAUCAGUGGCGAAGGCGACUUACUGGACUGUAACUGACACUGAGGCACGAAAGCGUGGGGAGCAAACAGGAUUAGAUACCCGGGUAGUC
rnacentral:rRNA from 1 species